CUGUGGGAUAAAAUGGUAAAGUUGGAGCAAAGAAUGAGAGGAGGAGGUGCAGGGUCUAUCGUCCAAUAAAAACGCUCGGCGCUAGUUUUGACCGUGUGUUUUUUCCUCACGCAAGCGUUUGUAUCACAUCGGCGUAUGGCGCCAAUUUGUAAAGGUCAUAAGUCGAGACAUACAUCGAGUCUGUCAAUUUGUCCGCCAGUAAAUUCUGCAGGGCCGUGCCACCUGGCCAUCGAGGCGCCCCCCUACCCGGCCACGCGGGCCAUACAUCGAGUCUGACACUUUUGCCCUCCAGUAAAUUCUGUUUAAAGUUUUGUUUUCACAUACGUCCCAAAUUACAGAUAAUUUUCUUACACAGGCACGAGUAGCAUCAUCAAGGCCGUACCACCUGGUCAUACAUCAAGUCUGACAAUUUCCCCGCCAGUAAAUUCUGUUUAUAGUUUUGUUUGUCAUACAUGACCGUGCAGAUAUGGGGUGACAGAGACAAUUAAAUUGUAUUACGUCGAGCGGGGGGCCUUUUCCUCCUCCUAGAGGCACAACGCCUUACCAAAGUUUGUACCAGCCAAAGAACCACAAGUUUCAUCGAGACCUUACCCGGUAAGUAUAUUAUUUCUUUUAUUCCUGUUAUAAAAAUGCUAUUCAAUUAAAAAUAACAUUCUAAUAAUAGGUAUUCUCUGUUUUUUCUAUGUACAAGAGAGAGAGACUGCGCUGACCGGUCAAGAGAAAAUCUACAAGAGACCUGAAUCAGCAGUGUUAUAAAGCACAUAGCCAACGCUAAUUAAUAAAGAAUUUAAGCAUAAUAGCCCAGACGCCCAUGGCCUAUAGCUGGUAGAAACGGAGCUAUCCUACGGCCUACAAGAUAAAAGCAUAUGGCACCAAAUUGGAAUCAGUAGUCUUUAAAAGAAUAAAUGGACUAGCAACUGUCUCUGGGGGAGCAGCCCCGGUUAGGUACUAUUAAGCAGCAUUUAGUGACAUGCAUCAAAACACAUUUUUUAAAACUUUGACAGAAUAAAGUCUUAGUUAUUUUAAUAAA